rnacentral:rRNA from 1 species
CCACGCAGUAAACGAUGGAUGCUAGCUGUUUGCGAUAUAAUGUAAGCGGCACAGUGAAAACGUUAAGCAUCCCACCUGGGGAGUACGUUCGCAAGAAUGAAACUCAAAGGAAUUGACGGGGGCCCGCACAAGCGGAGGAACAUGUGGUUUAAUUCGAUGAUACGCGAGGAACCUUACCCGGGCUUGAAAUGCAGAGUGAUAAUGUGGAAACAUGUUAGUCAGCAAUGAACUCUGUGUAGGUGCUGCAUGGUUGU